rnacentral:rRNA from 1 species
UACGAAGGUGGCAAGCGUUGUUCGGAUUUACUGGGCGUAAAGGGCGCGUAGGCGGCCAAUCAAGUUAGGCGUGAAAUCCCUGGGCUUAACCCAGGAACUGCGUUUAAUACUGAUUGGCUAGAGAUUGGUAGAGGAAAGUGGAAUUCCUAGUGUAGAGGUGAAAUUCGUAGAUAUUAGGAAGAACACCAGAGGCGAAGGCGACUUUCUGGGCCAAUACUGACGCUGAGGCGCGAAAGCGUGGGGAGCAAACAGG